rnacentral:rRNA from 1 species
CUACGGGGGGCAGCAGUGAGGAAUAUUGGACAAUGGAUGGAAAUCUGAUCCAGCCAUGCCGCGUGCAGGAAGACGGCCCUAUGGGUUGUAAACUGCUUUUGUAUGGGAGCAAUAAGGUCUAUGCGUAGACUGAUGAGAGUACCAUACGAAUAAGCAUCGGCUAACUCCGUGCCAGCAGCCGCGGUAAUACGGGGGAUGCAAGCGUUAUCCGGAUUUAUUGGGUUUAAAGGGUGCGCAGGCGGUUUGAUAAGUCAGCGGUGAAAUAUUUCAGCUUAACUGAAAGGGUGCCGUUGAUACUGUCAGGCUUGAAUAUGGUUGCUGUGGGUGGAAUGUGUGGUGUAGCGGUGAAAUGCUUAGAUAUCACACAGAAUAUCGAUUGCGAAGGCAGCUCACAAAGCCAUUAUUGACGCUGAUGCACGAAAGUGUGGGGAUCAAACAGGAUUAGAUACCCUGGUAGUCCACACUGUAAACGAUGAUAACUCGCUGUCGGCGAUACACAGUCGGUAGCCAAGCGAAAGCGAUAAGUUAUCCACCUGGGGAGUACGACCGCAAGGUUGAAACUCAAAGGAAUUGACGGGGGCCCGCACAAGCGGAGGAACAUGUGGUUUAAUUCGAUGAUACGCGAGGAACCUUACCCGGGCUCGAACGGUGCAGGAAUAUGUCAGAGAUGGCAUAGCUAGCAAUAGUCUGUAUCGAGGUGCUGCAUGGUUGUCGUCAGCUCGUGUCGUGAGGUGUCGGCU